GUAAUUGUAUUAGAAAAAAAUGUGAGAGAUGUAAAAAAAUCACUGGAGGAAGGUGGUUAUAUAAGUCCCAAAACUUUCAACACUCUAGAGACUUGGAAUUCGUUAUUUAACUAUCACUAUCUUUCUUCCUCAUGCCUACCUCCAACCAAUGAUUCUGUUAAUUAUGCUUCCUGAAUUCUGAGUUCUCCAAUAUGCUGUGUUUCUUCCCACUUUUCCCUUCCUGCCCUUCUUUCUUCAAUACCCCUCCUCUAAGAUACAUCAAUCACUUUUGAUCUCCCCUAGAAUUGUGAAUAGUUUCUCAAUUUCUAAACCUUCUUCUAUUCAUAAUUUCAAGUGUCGUAUUUGUAUCUGUUAAAUGAGCAUACUAAUCCUUAUUUCUGGUGGUGGCUGUAAAGAUUACAUAAAGCAAACUUCAGUGUAUCCGUGAAAACCCCUAAAGUAUAUCCUGGCAUAUAAACUUAGCUCAGUAAAUGUUUUCUUCCCUCCUAGUUUCUGAGGAUCGUCUUCCCCAACUCAGUCAGCCAGACUUGCCUUUCUAAGACAGAAAUUUGACUAUCUCACUACACUUUAAAAAAAUCAACGGCUUGUUAUUGCUCAAGUGAUGAAGUUCAAACUGGCAUGGCAGGGUCUUUACUGACUACAGUCUGUCUUGCUGCUCCUCUCUGCUCUGACUCUCCAUUUGACAUCCCCAUUAUAAUCACUGCAAGUUAUUUUUAAAUGUCAAACUUGCUCAUUUUUCUGUGCCCUUUGCACAUGCUGUUCCCUCUGCCUCUAAUGACGGAAAUGUCUCAUUGCCUUAUUUAAGGAAAUGCCUCUAUUUCACCACUGGUUUGCCAUCUCAUCCUUCUGUCUAUCUUUGUAACUUCUUCACUUAGCAAAUUCACUCAUCUUUUAGAUCUUCAAGUUAAUCUCUCUUCCUAGGUCUUCUCAAAACUCUUAAGCCCUGCCAAUCGCCCAUUAUGUUUGCAGUGUUUAUUAUUGCCAAGAUACUUAGCACAUUGAGUUAUCCUUGCUGGUUUGCAUUCUGAGUUUUCAACCAGACUGAGAGCUCCUGGUGCACCAGGAGCUGUUUUGUUCAACCUUGUUUUAUUAUAAUGUUGAUCAGAAAAAAAAAAUUGAGGACUGGCUAGGACCACUGUCUGUGUGGAGUUUACACAUUCUCCCAUUGUCUACAUGGGUUUUCCCUGGAUAUUCUGGUUUCUUCUCACAUCCCAAAGUUGUGCCAUUAGGUUAAUUGGCAUGUCUACAUGGUCCCAGUCCGAGUGAAUAUGGGUGCGUGUGUGAGUACGCCUUGAGGUGGAUUAACAUUCUAGCCAGGGAUGGCUCCCACCUUGCACACUUAGUUGCCAGGGAUAGGUUCCAGCCGCCCACAUGACCCUGAACUGGAAUAGUGGGUUAGAAAAUGAGUGAAUGAAUACAAAUUAUUAUAAGAUAAAGAUUCCUAAGGUAUGUAAUAGUCAUACAAAUGCACAACAGUAAACAAACAAACAGUGAGGGACAAAAAGCACUCAGAGGGCUGUCAGAAUUACUGUUUUUGAAUUUUGUGGUGGUAGGAGGGAAUCCUUAAAAUUUUUGUUUUGCAAACAUUUAUUCCUUGACUUGACCAACAUCCACUAAAACCACUGUUACUCACUGAUUCACCAAAAAUGAGGUUGGAGCACUUACUCAGAAGCUCUGGCGUAUAGGAAGCUCCCAGCACAGGGAACUUUAGAAAACUCAUAAAUGCAGGUCUCCAGAUGCCAGAAGAUUAAACAAAUGCCAGCUUCACAAGGCCAUGCUUUUCCAGCAGAAGAGAGAUGCAAUGUAAACAAAAAACUUGUAGGUAAAAAUAAAAUUUUGGAACAGAAAGAGGACACAAAAUAAGGAUUUAAGGCUGACAGAAUGGGAGGAGAAAAAAACAAGAAUUCAAUAUACCAACCAAGCAAAAAGGCUGCAGAGAAAGAAGUGAGUCCUUUGCUUCCUGAUUCAAGGGGUCCAGUGACAGAGCAUUCAAUCCAGUCUAACAAAUAUUUAUUAAUGCUGAGGUGGAACUUGAGAAAGUGGGUGGGAGAGGAAGGUGGAAUUGGGAGUGGAUUUUGACUGUGGGAAUGGGAGGUUGGGGAAAGAAACAUUAUUUACAUUGUGCCAAUUUUUCUAUAUAUUUAAUGCUAGUGAGGACUUACAGCAAAACUUUGAGACAGGCAAUGUUAUCCUUCAUUUAGUAGGUAAGAAAGCCAAGACUUGGGGGUCAAGUAACUUCUCCAAUCACAUCUACACCGUUAAUAAAUGCCAGAACCUAUUUCCAAAUUUAUGUGCAUCUGAUUCCAAAAAUCUAUAUCCUACCCCCUACAUUAUUUUAUCCCUAUGCCUCAUUCAGAGCAGUGUGAUGGAGUCUGAGGAUGGGAAUAUAACAAAGGAAGCAAUGUAGGCCUUACAUUUUAAAGUGUUCUGAACUAAUAAGGGAAGAAAGGCAUGUAGACAAUGAGCCAUAUCACGUGACAGAAUAAAAUAUGGGCUUGGCUAGAUAUAAACGACGUACUGAGGAUGACAGAUAAAAGAGCAUUUCAUUGAUAUUUCUGUAAGGGAUAGUAUGUACUCUCUAGUACUUACUAGAUAUGAUGUUAUUGGACCUGAAUGCAAAGAAAGAUAUUGAAUCAAGCUUAAUAGGUUAAGAAUUAAGGGACAACCAUCAUGCACAAAGAAGGGGAAGGGAUUAUAAUGCAUGGACAGAAAUAAAGUUGAAAAAAAUGCUUGCAGUUAGAUCAUGGAAAUUCUUGAAUACAGCCAUAGGCAGUUUGGACUCAGUACUUUGCACGAUGGAGGUCAACAGGAGAUAUUAAUAUUUGGAGAAGGAAGAUAAGUGAUCUGUUGUAUUGAUAUCUAGGGAAAAUCAUUAUUUAAAAAAUAACCAUAGCUUACUUUGAAUAGGUGCUAUAGAGUUUGGGGAAUUAUACAAGUAUCUUUUCCUUCAAAUUCCCAUAUUGUCUCUUAGCUAGAUGGCCUGGAAUUUUCUUCCUUUGUAUUUAAAAUUUGUAAUAAGUAAUCUAAGAAUACAAACUAGAAGUUUUAUUAAUGUGUCUUCUCAUGCAUCACAAACCCAGAAGAAAUGUCAUAAACCUCCACAUCUUCUCUACCUACCUGGGAAGAGCAAUAUUUUAAUAAUGAGGAGUAUGGAAAAAGGUGGAGAAGAGGGCCUAGCUACAAUGGCGUAGGUUCAGAAUCAUGACUGUGGUCUUUAGAAACCCUAAAAGGAAUAAAGGUAGGCAUCCCAGUCCUAGAGAAACUGGAAUAUCAGGCAGGUAGAUAGGUAUCAGACAUUUACAAAAUUCAUACCUUGGAUCCACAGUCUAGAACUUAGGGCAAAAUUUGGAAUAGAAUCCAGAGCUUGACUUCCCUGGUAAUAGAUGACCAGGCCAUGAGAUUAUUUUUCUUCUCACAGGGAAAAACUGGUUACAAAGAAUGAGAUGAGGUUAAGUCUGCUAGCAAAGCAGAAUAGUUCCAGUUUUAUAGUCAGAUAGCCAAGGGAUCAGAAAAUGUGGCUAAUUUAUGCAAUACAAAGAGACAUCACAGGUUGUGUUUGGGGAAGUCAAAGGUCUAUUGGAGUACUUAAAUUUGAGAGAAGGCAAUGAGUAUCAGUUUUUCUAAUAGGAAUUUCUAGUGAAACAACAACAACAACAACAACAACAAAUCGAUAUUAGGUUGUAAAGUAGGAGGUCAAGCAAAGCUCUCAGUAGCAAAUAGAUGUAGCCUUGAUUACUGUCUUUCCCUUUGACUUGAUGUGUUAUGUUGAUCUAGACAGAAAAGCUGUCUGAACCUUUAUUCAUUAAUAUGUGAAAUGGUAAUAAAGAUGACUACUUCAUAAACAGACUAUGAGGAUUUCAAUAAAAUAGUUUACCUGAAAUGAAGAUAAGCUGUCUGUGACAAGCAGGCUCUAAUAUGAUACCCACCUGCUAGUGUUUAUGCCUGUAUGUGAUCCUCUUCCCUUGGUUGCUGGGGAAUUCUUCCUCAAUUGUUUGUUGAAGUUAACUAUUGCAUGAAGAGGCCCAUGUAGCAAAGAACCAAGAACAACCUCCUGUCGGCAGCCAAUGAGGAACUUAGACCCCCGAUGUAACAGCACGCAAGGAAUGGAAUUCUGCCAAUAACUAGAUAAGUUUAGAAAGCAAAUCCUUCCCUGGUUGAGCCUUCUGAUGAGACACCAGUCCUAGCUGACACGUUGAUUACAUCCUGUGGUGGUUAAUGUUGUGUCAACCUGGCUAGACUGUGGUUCUCAGUGGAUUGGCUAAAUAUCAGUCCAGAUGUUGCUGUGAAGGGUUUUUUUUUUAAAUGUGAUUAAGAUUUAAGUCAGUAGACUGAAUAAUUAUCAACAUUCAUAUAAGUAGACUUUGAGUAAAGCAGAUUCUACCCAUAAUGUGGGUGGGCUUCAUGCAAUCAGUUAAAGGCCUUAAGAGCAAAGAAAGACUGAGGUUGACCCCAAAAGAAAGAGUUUUCCUUCAAGAUAGCCACAUAAAAUCCCAGCUUGAGUUUCUAGCCUGUUCAUCUUUGGUAUGUGGACUAAGAUUGCCACAUCAACCCCUGCCAGAACUCCAGACUGUGAGCCUGCCCUACAGAGUUCAGAUUUGCCAGUCCCCAAAAAUCACAUGAGAAAAUUUCUUAAAAUAAAUUUAUCUCUUUUUCUCUUUAAAUAUAAAAGAACUUAAAGCAGAAGAUCUCACUAAGUUAUGCCUGUAUUUCUGAUCCACGAAAAUAAUAAAACAAUAUUUAUG
rnacentral:lncRNA from 1 species